UGUGCUGGGCACGCGCUGCUUUUGAGCCUUCUCAAUGACAGCUGCAUAGUAUUAUCCGGCCCUCGGGCCUGGCCCGCACUUAGGAAGAGGAGGUGGUAGAAGAUGCCAACCUGGAAGGUCAAACCUGGACCUUCACCUGGGCUCCGGCUGGCAGGUGCCUUGUUCUCUGCUGCCAUCUGCUGGGUGGAACGGGGCCCUGCAUCACAGCUGGCCCCACAGUUGUGCUUCCAUUAGCUAGAAAAUGAUCAAAUCAUCGGACAAAUAUUUCCUGAGGACCUCCUUGGGCACCGAGGAUGUUGCAGUGACCUGCAAGUGGCUCUGGGGACACGGGGAUAUGCAGAUCCUGAGGCGGCCCCUGAUUUGCAGAAAUCAGCCCCAAGGCCCCCCACCCCUCCACGCGUCUGCACCAGAGACGUUGGCAUCAGGCAGCUCCAGCCCCGGCUGCUGGGGCUUGGACAAGUCGCUCGCUCCCAGAUGCUCAAGUGUCAGGUGAUGCCGUAACUGGUGUCAGGAGCCUGUGAGGGCCUCGGCCACAGCAGGAGGGUUUGAGCUGGAAGCUUGGUCCCCAGGGCAACAGCGCCCAGAUGACCACAUCACAGGGCACCACCCUCCUAAAGGAGGAACGUUAUCACUGCAGACGGGGUUCAUUCUCUCAAGAGCAGCCAAGCCCUUCCCUGGCUUCUUGCUUCCUCUUGCCAAACGAUGUCCCUCACAUGGGCUCCCACCAGGAGAACGCAUCUACCAUGUUAUGACACAGCCAGAAGCUCUUGCCAGAGGCCAAACAGAUGAAGCCAUUCCAUCUUGGACUUUUAGCCUCUCAAACUGCGAACUAAAUAAAUCUCUUUUCUUUAUAAAGUA